rnacentral:rRNA from 1 species
AACGAACGCUGGCGGCAUGCCUAACACAUGCAAGUCGAACGCUCCGCAAGGGGAGUGGCGAACGGGUGAGUAACGCGUGGGAACCUGCCCAGUAGUUGGGGAUAACCGCGGGAAACUGCGGCUAAUACCGAAUACGCCCUAAGGGGAAAGAUUAUCGCUAUUGGAGGGCCCGCGUCGGAUUAGCUGGUUGGUGAGGUAACGGCUCACCAAGGCGACGAUCCGUAGCUGGUCUGAGAGGAUGAUCAGCCACACUGGGACUUAGACACGGCCCAGACUCCUACGGGAGGCAGCAGU